rnacentral:rRNA from 1 species
UAAUACGGAGGGAGCGAGCGUUGUUCGGAAUCACUGGGCGUAAAGGGCGCGUGGGCGGCCGAGUAAGUCGUGUGUGAAAGACCGGGGCUCAACUCCGGUAUUGCAUGCGAUACUGCUCGGCUAGAGAAAGGUAGAGGCGAGUGGAAUUCCCGGUGUAGCGGUGGAAUGCGUAGAUAUCGGGAAGAACACCUGUGGCGAAGGCGGCUCGCUGGGCCUUUUCUGACGCUGAAGUGCGAAAGCGUGGGGAGCAAACAGGAUUAGAUACCCUGGUAGUCCACGCCGUAAACGAUGGGCACUAGGCGUUGGGAGGAUUGACCCUCUCAGUGCCGUAGCUAACGCGUUAAGUGCCCCGCCUGGGGAGUACGGCCGCAAGGCUGA